rnacentral:tRNA from 1 species
GAAAUACGUUAUUCAAAAUGAAGCUUCUAACUUCAAUUUUUUGCAGUGAAAAUCUGUUUGUGUUUCU